CUCAGAUUGAACGCUGGCGGCAGGCCUAACACAUGCAAGUCGAACGGUAACAGGAAGAGCUUGCUUCUUUGCUGACGAGUGGCGGACGGGUGAGUAAUGUCUGGGAAACUGCCUGAUGGAGGGGGAUAACUACUGGAAACGGUAGCUAAUACCGCAUAACGUCGCAAGACCAAAGAGGGGGACCUUCGGGCCUCUUGCCAUCGGAUGUGCCCAGAUGGGAUUAGCUGUGGUGGGGUAACGGCUCACCUAGGCGACGAUCCCUAGCUGGUCUGAGAGGAUGACCAGCCACACUGGAACUGAGACACGGUCCAGACUCCUACGGGAGGCAGCAGUGGGGAAUAUUGCACAAUGGGCGCAAGCCUGAUGCAGCCAUGCCGCGUGUAUGAAGAAGGCCUUCGGGUUGUAAAGUACUUUCAGCGGGGAGGAAGGGAGUAAAGUUAAUACCUUUGCUCAUUGACGUUACCCGCAGAAGAAGCACCGGCUAACUCCGUGCCAGCAGCCGCGGUAAUACGGAGGGUGCAAGCGUUAAUCGGAAUUACUGGGCGUAAAGCGCACGCAGGCGGUUUGUUAAGUCAGAUGUGAAAUCCCCGGGCUCAACCUGGGAACUGCAUCUGAUACUGGCAAGCUUGAGUCUCGUAGAGGGGGGUAGAAUUCCAGGUGUAGCGGUGAAAUGCGUAGAGAUCUGGAGGAAUACCGGUGGCGAAGGCGGCCCCCUGACGAAGACU
rnacentral:rRNA from 1 species